rnacentral:rRNA from 1 species
AGAUUGAACGCUGGCGGCAGGCCUAACACAUGCAAGUCGAGCGGUAACAGAGAGUAGCUUGCUACUUUGCUGACGAGCGGCGGACGGGUGAGUAAUGCUUGGGAACAUGCCUUAAGGUGGGGGACAACAGUUGGAAACGACUGCUAAUACCGCAUAACGUCUACGGACCAAAGGGGGCUUCGGCUCUCGCCUAAAGAUUGGCCCAAGUGGGAUUAGCUAGUUGGUGAGGUAAUGGCUCACCAAGGCGACGAUCCCUAGCUGGUUUGAGAGGAUGAUCAGCCACACUGGGACUGAGACACGGCCCAGACUCCUACGGGAGGCAGCAGUGGGGAAUAUUGCACAAUGGGCGAAAGCCUGAUGCAGCCAUGCCGCGUGUGUGAAGAAGGCCUUCGGGUUGUAAAGCACUUUCAGUCAGGAGGAAAGGUUAGUAGUUAAUACCUGCUAGCUGUGACGUUACUGACAGAAGAAGCACCGGCUAACUCCGUGCCAGCAGCCGCGGUAAUACGGAGGGUGCGAGCGUUAAUCGGAAUUACUGGGCGUAAAGCGUACGCAGGCGGUUUGUUAAGCGAGAUGUGAAAGCCCCGGGCUCAACCUGGGAACUGCAUUUCGAACUGGCAAACUAGAGUGUGAUAGAGGGUGGUAGAAUUUCAGGUGUAGCGGUGAAAUGCGUAGAGAUCUGAAGGAAUACCGAUGGCGAAGGCAGCCACCUGGGUCAACACUGACGCUCAUGUACGAAAGCGUGGGGAGCAAACGGGAUUAGAUACCCCGGUAGUCCACGCCGUAAACGAUGUCUACUAGAAGCUCGGAGCCUCGGUUCUGUUUUUCAAAGCUAACGCAUUAAGUAGACC